GCCCACAGCGCCAGCCCAGCCCAGCCUACCACCCGGGGGCAGGAGAACCACUGAACUCUCCUCAGGCUGUCACCUGUCCUCCCCUCUGACAGGUGCAAGGAGGAGGCCAUAUGACAUUGUCUCUAUUAUUCUUUGAACAAGGACUUUCUUCCUACUUUCCAAACACCAUCAUUCCUUUCCUAACCCAAGCCUAUUUCUUUUAUUGCUUCUUUCACAGACCAUGAACAAUCAGUCCACUUCCUUCUUAUAAAAUCCCUCUCAAUAGCCCCAAGCCACCAGAUUUUGAUUUUUAGGGUAUCAACUUACUUCUUAAUGGCAUUCUCUCCAGGCUAAAUAGCCCAUGCCCUUCUAACCCUGCCUCACUAGGCCUACUUCCUGGAGACACAAGAGAAUGGACAGCUCUAAAGGCCAUGGCUGAGGAAGCCAGAAUGGGACAAGACAGAGUGAAGAUGGCCCUGGCCCAACCUAACUUCUGGUAAAAAUGACUGAUACCCAUAACAAGGAGGGAGAGGGUGGAGCUAGAUUUUCUGAGAAGAAAAGGAGAGUAUAAAACAAUAUGGCAGCUGCUGACUACCACAUCUAGAAAAGUCAGAGUUCUGGGGCCUGAGAAGUCCAAGAUCAAGGCACCUGCAGAUUAGGGCCUGGUCUCUCUGCUUCCAAGAUGGCGCUCUGAAUGCUGGUCCUCUGGAGAGGAGGCACGGCUAGUCAAGUGAAGCAGCGGGAUUGGAGAAUCAAAAGAAUCUGUAACUGGUUGUGAUCAAUUAGUUGUAAACACCACUGCACUCGGACCAGCCCCAUUGUUUUUAAUAUCAGUCCUCAUGGUUUCGAAUCUUUUGCUCUUACAAUCAAUGACCUCACGCAUACAUUUCAUAUGUAAGCAAGUGUAUCUGUAGGAAAGAUUUCCAAAAGUGGGAUUUUUUGAAUCAAAAUGGAAAUGCAAUGCGGUUUUUACAACCACUGAGAAUGGCUACAUUCUGCUGUUCCACCAGCACUGUAACACGCCCGUUUCCCUUACAUCCUCCUUUACAGAAUAUAUUGCCAAACGUUCCAAUAUUUGCCAAUGUGGUGAUUUGCAUUUUUCUAUUGAAAACUGAAGCAAAGCAUCUUUUCAUAUGUUUAAGGUCUAUUUGUAAUUAUUUUUUCGUGAACUCUGUGUUUCUUUUGCCUAUUUUUCUAUUGGAUGGCUGGUUGUUAGAACUUUUAUAACGAAUAUUUAACAUAUUUAUGUUUGGAAAAAAAUUAUCCAAAGAAAAAAGGUGAUAAAAGCUGUACUAGCCUUUCUUCCACGAGUGUGGUACCCAAUCAAAGAGGGAUCCAAACAGGUCCAGAACAACUUCAACUGGCUUCCAGCCCCGACAGAGGAAGCUUGGAAAAGCGGGGCCUGCCCGCCUACCCUCAGCGUGCGCAUGCUCGCCUGAUUCCCCGCGGAAAGUUGGUGUGCGCAUGCUCCAAAAGCCCGAGACCCCUGAUUCCUAACGGAAAAUCUGUUACGCAUGCGUAGAAACUACCCUCCCUGGAGACUUUCCUCAAAGGACUGAAGGUAGCUUGGGUUUCACGAAGCUGGCUCUGUAAGCUCCGACAGCCAAGGCUUUUGUUGUCGGAAAAGUCCAGGGGCACCAUAUAUUCUAUGAAGAGGGAAUUCCAGGUCGUCAGCGACAAGGCGUCUUCCUGUGGCCGUCAAACAAAACACCGCGUUACAUCAGCGGGUGGUAGUCACCUGGCCCUCUCCAGACGGUGUCUACAGCGAGCUUUAUUUUUUUUUUAAAUAAUGUUUUGUAUUGAAGAGGAAAUUGAUUAAAAAGGGUUUUCAAGCAUGUCAGGAGUUUAAUAAUAAACUACAUAUUUUAAAAUAUUCCAUAGGGUGCGCUAGAGAGAGGUCUCUCUAGCCUGAGAAAAACCACCUGUCACUCGCGGAGAAAAAGGUGCGCUGACUUUCCCUGCUUGAUGCAGAGUGGAGAAUUAGACCUUACAGGAAGAUAUCACCGAUUCCGAAAAGAAUGCUGCACCCGUCACGUUACUGCAUUUUGUGAGACUUUUUGAAAGCUCCAGAAACAGUGCCCACGGUUUUCAAGCUGAAGGCUGGAGAAAGGUGGCCCUAGAUCCCUGAGGACUGUUUUCCCCAACAAGGAGCUAUAAUGUGUAUUUGAGCACUUGGUAAUGAAGGCUAGGCUUAACGCUUCAGGUGGUUUCCUUGCGCUUUUAGCGCCACCUCGUGGUAGUACUCUGGUGUCGGAAUCUAUGCUUUCCUGAUUUUUUUUUUAAUGCUCCUGAACACAUUUCUGGCUGUUGUUUACAAUAUCGGUCGUUUAAAUAUUAUCAUGUCACAUAGCAGUAUGGUUUUCAACCCAUCUGCACAAUAGAGUCACUUUGUGACCUUUAAAAAAUACCGACACUAGGUCCAGCUCCUGAGCCACUGUCAGAGAGGCAGUAAUAGUGAUUUGUUGGACAAAGCUAGACGUCAUUUAAAAUUAUGAGUUCCAUUGCUUACUGGAAAGAGUCAGCUUUCUUCCCUGAGUAUAUGACUACAUACACUCAUGCUAUCAUAUGACUAUUUAUGGCUAAAAAUGAAUACAUUUGGUAGAUUUCUUUAAGUAAUUGUUUCUGAUGUAAAAUAAUUCUGACAGUUGCCUACAUUUCUCUUAUUUUUUUUUAAUUUGGGAAAAUACAUUAACCACAGAAAAGUGUAGAGUCUAAGACAAGCAACAGCUGAACCCACCACUCAAAAUUGACUAAUGUGAGCAUUGUCAUGUGUGCUUCAGAUUAUUUUUAUAUAUGUGAGGAAUAAAAUAUUUCUAAUAGAGCAUAAGUGCUGAACAGGAAGACCAAUAAAGCAAUGAGAACGUUAGUCUGCUAAACUGUGGCAAUGUUGUGAGUACAAUACAACUCAGAGAGGAAAGAGAUCAACAGAUUCAUGAAGGAGAUAAUACUGUGCUGUGCACAAUGGAUAUAUGCAUAUGGGCAAACACAAGAAGAGACUGAACAAAACUGAUGUAGCCAUUAGGAUAAAUUGGCUCACCUGAACUUGCAGUGUACUUUCAUUUUGGAGGCAUGGUCAUAAGGUAUUGCCUGGAGUUGCUUGUUUCAGCCUGAAGAGCCUUUUUCAGUACAUCUUGUAAGGUGGGUCUGUUAGCAGUAAAUUUUCUCAAUUUUUGUUUAUCUGAGAAUUUCUUCAUUUUUGCCUUCAUUUUUGAAAAACAAUUUUGUUGAAUAUAAGAUUCUUAGCUGACGAAUCUUUUUUUUUUUCUUUGAGCACUUUGAAUAUGUUAUCUCACUGCCUUCUGCCCUCCAUUGCUUCUGAUGAGAAGUCAGCUAUUAAUCUUAGUGGGAUUCUCUUGUUAAGUGAUGAUUUGUUUUUCUCUUGCUCCUUCAAGACUUUCAUCUUGUCUUUGGAAUUUAGUAUUUUUACUAUAAUGUGUGUUUGUGUAUCUCUUUGUAUUUAUCCUCUUAGAAUUUGUUGAGCUUCUUGGGUACAUAAAGUUUUUCA